UUUUGGAAUUUUCUGGUUGCCUUUAGCCCUUUUCUUUUUCCCUGGAAUAGACUCUCUAUUACCUCAAGGGCAAAGAAAAGUCUCAAGCAAAGAUCACUAGGUAUUAGUUUCUUAGAGAUGAGACACAGAGAUGAACGAUGGAAUUCUAAGAGGAAAUGCACAAUUGAAAAGAAAAAUUCGAGAACUUCCCUGAAUUUUUGCUAUGGGGUUUGGAGAAUGGGAAGGUACUAGGAGAUGGGAGAUAAUUUUUACUUUACAUCCAACUGGGAGGGCUGGGGAAUGUAUAGAAGUCCAAUACAAACAGCCCCUCCCAACUUUCCUUUCCUUCUCUCCCUACUCCCUACUCCUGACACCAAAAGCCAACUUUCGGCUUUGUGGCAAAAGUUAAACCUGACUCCUUUAGGUUGCCCUAGCACUUGCAGUCCGCGUUUGUGAGGGACAACUUUUAGAGUAGGGAUGAAACCUGCCACAUCCUGGGCACCAACAGCUGCUUCUUUCUCAUCUUUCUCAAGUUCAGGGGUCAGCAAACUGUAGCCUGCCACCUGUUUUUGUACAUCACAUGAGCUAAGAGUGUGUUUACAUUUUUAAGUCAUUGGGGAAACAAAAUCUAAGAAUAAUAAUAUUUGGUAACCCACUAAAAAGAUAUGAAAUUUGGUGGCUAUAAAUAAAAUUUUAUCAGACCAUAGCCACAGUUGUUGGUUUACCAGCCAUCCCUGGCUGCUUCCAUCUCUAACGACAAAGUUGAGGACUUGCCAUAGAGACCAUAUGGGUUGCAAAGACUAAGAUAUUAACUCGCUGACCUUUGACAGAGAAAGUUUGCUGACCCCUGCAGUAGUUUAAUCUUCUCACAUUUCCCUUGCUUUCCAGUCUCCACAAAGAACAAUGUUCUUCCCAACCUGCCAAGACAGCCAAAUAACAAAAGAAAUACCCGUGGAGCCCACCUGAAGUGCACAGAUCUGGGGACAUUGGGAGGAACAGAGGUAGCUUAGUGACUCUACUGUCCCUACCACCCAACCUGCUAUUAGCCCUGCUGGUCCGCUCGUGUUUGAGGUCAUGAGUCAGGUCAUUGUGCAUCCCUUCUCAGUAACAUCUGUUUAGGGCUUUGGUUUUGAAGCAUCCCUGCUGGAUAUGUUCUCUCAGUUGGAUACGUUACAGGCCAUAUGUGGAAAUUUACUCAUCUGCACUGAAGAAAUGGCCAGAUCAGCCUUGACAAAAUGCAGAGAGCAUUUCAGAACCAUUCAAAGGUAAGGGAAUGCUUGGUGCAGCCUGAGAGAGCUUUGAGAACAAUCAGGAAAACUCUUCCUUGGCUUGAGCAGAACAAACAGAAUAAUGGCUCCUAAUAGGUAAUAGCUAUGAGACAUUCAGCUUUUGGAUACCUCCACGCGGGAGGAAUCAUUUGGGUGCUGCUGUUGCAUUCAAGCUGCCUACCUCGAGUCAGAGUCAAAUUACCCUGACCGCCAUAAAAGGCCUCGAAUGUUGCUCUACAUUUGGGCAGGUUGAUGUGCCCACCUGCAGAUGCUGACACCUCUCUAGCUACAACAGACUCCUUUCCUCACAUGAGCCCUGCCCAAUGCAUUGGUUUUAUG
rnacentral:lncRNA from 1 species